UUUUUUUUUUCCUAAAAUAUUUAUAAAAAAAAGAGGAAGAAAUUAAAUUUUGGAAUUUUCCCUACUGAAAAUCAAACAGAAAAGAAAACUAAUGGAAAGCAAGCAGCACAGAAUCUCAAAGUCUUAAUUGCCCACUUCAGUGGCAUUUUCUUUGUUCUUAUAGUCCAUUUCUCUAACCUAGAAACUCCAAAAACUCCAUCUUCUUCGAUUUUCUUCAGCCCCAGCAACAGAUCAUGGAUGGGUCGAUUAAGAAAGAGGAAGUGGGGAGAGUCAUACGAGGAAGAACCAUGAAUUUUCCUCUGAAGAAGCUGCUGGUAUACAUAAAAUUUGCACACUUUUCUGCUUUGGUUGAUCAUGAACGUUUUGCUUCCUCUCUAUUUGCUUCUAAUGGAUCUUGGGCAAACUAAGAAAUUAUAAUAAGUAAUUACAUUCUUUGUAUCUUUCUAAUUAUGCAAGUUUACUGUACUUGUUCUUGAAGAAAGAACUUGAGCUAGAGCCCUUGUUGAGCUUUGGGUAGUAAAUCAAAGUACUCCCAAGAUUAUUGAGCUUUUGGUGAUUAUUAAAUUCAUGUUAGUCCAACUGUUAAGUUUACCCAAAAAAUAAUUUGAUGGAACUGGGUAGUGUGUUAUAUUUUCUCUUUCAAAACUUGAUUCAAUACCCUUCUUAACCAGUCACAACAGGACGAUAUGAAUCAUAGUGGGAUCGUUCUGGUCGCUUGAGGAGUUUGGAUGUUUGUAGAAGAGACAUACUGACUCAGAUGUACUUGUGAAAAACAGUUUGAAUUUCCUCAUUUUCAAGCUUUGCUCAAUGAAACAAGGGCAGCUACAAAGAGCUUUCCUUUAUGAUAUCAAAAGCUUUUCUCAUGAACUGAAUUCCAAAGGUGUAAAAGCCUUUCCCCUUGUUGAAAUCUCCAGGCUUCAACAACCUGGAGAUGUUGGUUGUUGUUUUCACAAAAUUCAACGAAGUAAAGGAAGAGGUGAACUAUGAUCUUCUUCCUAUAUUUGAUGCUGAUUUGGUUGGAAUUCUUGAGAAAAAAUGCAGACACUCAUCCAGUAUGGCAGGAAAUCAUUUGAGGACUUGCUGGUUUUGGCUUGAAACUGUAAAUUGGCAUCUCUGGGAGAGAGUUUUCGCUUCCGUGUGAGUGGAUAGUUGAGGAAUUGGAUGAUAGGAUUCGAGUAACUUGAUCAGGCUUUUGUGAAGCAGCUUUCACACCAGAAUGUUUCUUUUCAUUUUCACAAGGUGUUCCAGAUUCUCGCAGUUUUACAAGGAAUGUGGAUUGGCCAAAGAUGCUUGAUAUUCUGGGAAGCAGAAUUCAACUAGCAACCUCCUCCUAGCCGCUUUCCAAAACCUGCUUUGGUUAUGAAAAUUGUCAGAAGAGAAUUAGUUUCAGGAAACAGUUUGUAUGUGAUAAAAUUACAUUUUUGAAGCGCUUUUUGGGCUUUCAAAAUCAAAACUAAAUUGACCCUCAGCUUUUUUUUGGUAAUUAGUAAAGUUAAUAGGAAACUGAGUUCAUGUGAAAAGUGAAUAUUUUUCAAUAUUUGGAUAGUUUUUUAGUAGAUGGAUUGGUAUGAGCUCUCAGGAGUUGGGCAAUUUCCAAACAGAAGUCAAAAAAGGAUACCAAACGGUAUCUUAUAUUGUUUGAUGAUGUUUUUU